UNUGCUGUGAAAGGCUGGGGCUUAACCCUGGUUUUGCAGUGGNUACGGGCUAACUAGAGUGCAGUAGGGGAGACUGGAAUUCCUGGUGUAGCGGUGGAAUGCGCAGAUAUCAGGAGGANCACCGAUGGCGAAGGCAGGUCUCUGGGCUGUAACUGACGCUGAGAAGCGAAAGCAUGGGGAGCGAACAGGAUUAGAUACCCUGGUAGUCCAUGCCGUAAACGUUGGGCACUAGGUGUGGGGGNCAUUCCACGUUUUCCGCGCCGUAGCUAACGCAUUAAGUGCCCCGCCUGGGGAGUACGGCCGCAAGGCUAAAACUCAAAGAAAUUGACGGGGGCCCGCACAAGCGGCGGAGCAUGCGGAUUAAUUCGAUGCAACGCGAAGAACCUUACCAAGGCUUGACAUAUACUGGACUGCGUCAGAGAUGGCGUUUCCCUUCGGGGCUGGUAUACAGGUGGUGCAUGGUUGUCGUCAGCUCGUGUCGUGAGAUGUUGGGUUAAGUCCCGCAGCGAGCGCAACCCUCGUUCUAUGUUGCCAGCACGUGAUGGUGGGGACUCAUAGGAGACUGCCGGGGUCAACUCGGAGGAAGGUGGGGAUGACGUCAAAUCAUCAUGCCCCUUAUGUCUUGGGCUUCUCGCAUGCUACAAUGGCCGGUACAGAGGGUUGCGAUACUGUGAGGUGGAGCUAAUCCCUAAAAGCCGGUCUCAGUUCGGAUUGGGGUCUGCAACUCGACCCCAUGAAGUCGGAGUCGCUAGUAAUCGCAGAUCAGCAACGCUGCGGUGAAUACGUUCCCGGGCCUUGUACACACCGCCCAUCAAGUCACGAAAGUUGGUAACACCCGAAGCCGGUGGCCUAACCCUGGUGGGGGGAGCCGUC
rnacentral:rRNA from 1 species